rnacentral:rRNA from 1 species
UACGUAGGAUGCAAGCGUUGUCCGGAAUUAUUGGGCGUAAAGAGCGCGCAGGCGGUCUAUCAAGUCAGAUGUGAAAUAUCCAGGCUUAACCUGGAGGGGUCAUUUGAAACUGGUAGACUAGAGUACAGCAGAGGAUAGUGGAAUUCCCGGUGUAGUGGUGAAAUGCGUAGAUAUCGGGAGGAACACCAGUGGCGAAGGCGACUAUCUGGGCUGAAACUGACGCUGAGGAGCGAAAGCGUGGGGAGCGAACAGG